UUUUAGAAGAGAAAAAGAUGAGCGGCGUAAGGAAAGGGCCGCCGAAGCAUCAGAACAAAGUCGCCUGGAAACCUAACGCCGGUAUCAAAAUCAAUGAAACGGAAGUGGGUGGAAAAUUUAGGCCUCUCUCAGAAAUAACAGGAGUAUGUCUUCGUUGUAGAGAUCAAAUUGAUUGGAAGCGCAAGUAUGGAAAAUACAAAGCCAUUACUGAACCUGCUAAGUGUCAGAAGUGUUCGAAAAGAAACGUGCGUCAAGCUUACCACAAUCUCUGCAAUGGCUGUGCAAAGGAGCAUAAAGUAUGUGCCAAGUGUUCAUGUCGUGUUGGUCAAGUGGUUGGAAGAGAUGUUUCAGAAGUAGAGGCUGAGAAAAAAGCUCUUGAGGAGGCUAUCAAGAAUACUCGAGAACGGGAUAGGCGGUCACUUCUACGAGCUAUGAACAAAGGGAAGUCACAGAGUUCAGAGAAAAACCUAAGUCAAGAUGACAUGAAAGUUGGUGAACUGAAUACAGCAUCAUCACUUGAGGAAUAUGCUAAGGUAAACCGUGAUGAUGACGAAGAUGGUGAACUGAAUACAGCAUCAUCACUUGAGGAAUAUGC
rnacentral:misc_RNA from 1 species